UGUGCCAGCAGCCGCGGUAAUACGGAGGGUGCAAGCGUUAAUCGGAAUUACUGGGCGUAAAGCGCACGCAGGCGGUUUGUUAAGUCAGAUGUGAAUCCCCGGGCUCAACCUGGGAACUGCAUCUGAUACUGGCAAGCUUGAGUCUCGUAGAGGGGGGUAGAAUUCCAGGUGUAGCGGUGAAAUGCGUAGAGAUCUGGAGGAAUACCGGUGGCGAAGGCGGCCCCCUGGACGAAGACUGACGCUCAGGUGCGAAAGCGUGGGGAGCAAACAGGAUUAGA
rnacentral:rRNA from 1 species